AAUGGCGGCGUGCUAUAAUGCAAGUCGAGCGAGCUUGCCUAGAUGAUUUUAGUGCUUGCACUAAAUGAAACUAGAUACAAGCUAGCGGCGGACGGGUGAGUAACACGUGGGUAACCUGCCCAAGAGACUGGGAUAACACCUGGAAACAGAUGCUAAUACCGGAUAACAACACUAGACGCAUGUCUAGAGUUUAAAAGAUGGUUCUGCUAUCACUCUUGGAUGGACCUGCGGUGCAUUAGCUAGUUGGUAAGGUAACGGCUUACCAAGGCAAUGAUGCAUAGCCGAGUUGAGAGACUGAUCGGCCACAUUGGGACUGAGACACGGCCCAAACUCCUACGGGAGGCAGCAGUAGGGAAUCUUCCACAAUGGACGCAAGUCUGAUGGAGCAACGCCGCGUGAGUGAAGAAGGGUUUCGGCUCGUAAAGCUCUGUUGGUAGUGAAGAAAGAUAGAGGUAGUAACUGGCCUUUAUUUGACGGUAAUUACCUAGAAAGUCACGGCUAACUACGUGCCAGCAGCCGCGGUAAUACGUAGGUGGCAAGCGUUGUCCGGAUUUAUUGGGCGUAAAGCGAGUGCAGGCGGUUCAAUAAGUCUGAUGUGAAAGCCUUCGGCUCAACCGGAGAAUUGCAUCAGAAACUGUUGAACUUGAGUGGUUUAAGUGC
rnacentral:rRNA from 1 species